rnacentral:rRNA from 1 species
UACGAAGGGGGCUAGCGUUGCUCGGAAUUACUGGGCGUAAAGGGCGCGUAGGCGGCACUGUUAGUCAGGCGUGAAAUCCCUGGGCUCAACCCAGGAACUGCACUCGAAACUUCUUUUCUUGAGUGCCGGAGAGGAAAGCGGAAUUCCUGGUGUAGAGGUGAAAUUCGUAGAUAUCAGGAGGAACACCAGUGGCGAAGGCGGCUUUCUGGACGGUAACUGACGCUGAGACGCGAAAGCGUGGGGAGCAAACAGG